AAUGAACGCUGGCGGCAUGCCUUACACAUGCAAGUCGAACGGCAGCAUGACCUAGCUUGCUAGGUUGAUGGCGAGUGGCGAACGGGUGAGUAAUGCAUCGGAACGUGCCUUUUAGUGGGGGAUAACGUAGCGAAAGUUACGCUAAUACCGCAUAUUCUCUGAGGAGGAAAGCAGGGGACCUUCGGGCCUUGCGCUACAAGAGCGGCCGAUGUCGGAUUAGCUAGUUGGUGAGGUAAAGGCUCACCAAGGCAACGAUCCGUAGCGGGUCUGAGAGGAUGAUCCGCCACACUGGGACUGAGACACGGCCCAGACUCCUACGGGAGGCAGCAGUGGGGAAUUUUGGACAAUGGGCGCAAGCCUGAUCCAGCCAUGCCGCGUGAGUGAAGAAGGCCUUCGGGUUGUAAAGCUCUUUCGGCUGGGAAGAAAUCGCACCCUCUAAUACAGGGUGUGGAUGACGGUACCAGCAGAAGAAGCACCGGCUAACUACGUG
rnacentral:rRNA from 1 species